AAUCCGAGUGCCGAGCCGGCCGGGUUUGUUGAUGUUGUCGUGCGAGGUGACCUCCCCUAUAGGGUCCUCUAACGGAAUCUUCCUAGUAACAGAUCCAGCGAAUAGGCAGCUUGCAUGAGCAACUCGCAGCCAAUGAGAGCCGGCCAGUCUGAGCAGAUGUCCGAGUGUGCGAGAGAGCGCGAGAGCGUGUGAAAGCGUGCGAGAGCCAGCCAUCCUCUAACCGUUCAGAGUAUUUUUUUUUUCCCCUCGUCCACCUGGCUGGCUGCGUCCCAGGAGACACGUGAGGCGUUUCGUCGGAUGAUGAUGAUGAUGAUGAUGAUGUCCUUAAACAGACAAAAAAAAUAAAAAUAAAAAUAAAAAUUCUCUCAGCUGCGAGAGUCGUCGUUCCACUUAUGUUCAUUUCGCACAAAAUGAGAUGACAGACCAAGACCACCAGGAGCCUGAGCACUCGGCAUACAGAACAGACGAGGAUGUCCUGCUGCCACUCAGAUAAUCCCCCCCCUCUCUCUCUCAUAUGUGUGUAGGCCUGCUGCGAAACUCCUUCACGACAUCAACGACAUUCCCUCCAAUCACGCGACAUCACACCAAAUUAUAUUAUCAGACGCUGCUAAUGUGUACGUGUUUUACGUACGACAAAAGCAAGGUCUGACAGAUCCUAAAAUGAACACUAGUAAAACACACACACACACACACACACACACCCUUGAUGAAUAUUAAGACGAGAUGGACUACAGCCACGUUUCUUCCUGCUCUUAGUGAAUAACUGAAUGAGCUCCUGCAUAAACACGCCACUCAUGCAGAAAUAUUACGCAUAUAUUUAGUUCAAAAGCUCCGCUUAAAUCCAAAACGAGCUCGACAAGGUCAGCGCGCAUCACAGAAGUCGUUCGUUACGAGAAAACGCUGCACGCCUUCAUUUAGACGGAUUAAAAGCCGGGUUCACGUCUCAGACGCCGACGAUGCUACAUAUUCAUAAUCGUACAAGUUUUCCGUUGAUCUUUUCCCCCCCUCUUUAUUAUCCCAUUAUUAUAAAAGUAGAGAAGCGGCACUUUAUCCGCCGCAGGAGACAGAAACGCGUUUUAACACGUCAGACCGUACACCACGACUCGAAGCCCGAAACCUCCGUGUGAAAUAAUAACGCACGUGUUAUUAUACACCUUCUCAUUACGCGGACACGCCGCACUGCUGCAGUGUCUCAGAUCUCAUACCCGCGGACGAUUCCAGACCGUCCCGGAUCUCCACCGCUAACCGGGAAUCCCAUCACAGUCAGCGUUUCAACUGUGAAAACCUCUCGUGUCGUCCGAUCCGAGCAUCAGACUUCUGGAUUUUCUAAACGAGCAAAGACUUUGGAACAUCUCGGAAGUCGGUUUGAGACGCGGAUCAUGACGACGAUCGCGACGACAGCCGGAAGGUUUAAAGCGGUACAGAAGCUCACGCGUAGGAAGUCGCUUAACGUUUUACAGUUCUACUUGGCCACCUGACGGACAGCUACGUUCCGCUUAGAGUCUGGAGAACGCCGCAUCCGCGUGUACCUAAAGAUACGCGGCGACGCCGAUCACGCCGCCGCUACGUCUGCACGCGAUAAACAGCUGAACACUUCUCGUUAACCUGGUAAAGGCGUGUCAGGAAUAUUCCUUUUGGUUUUAAAUCACUUGUGUUGCACAUUGUGAUGUUUGUUACUGACAUCAUAAACGUUCAAAUGUUACAGUAGUCCUAUAUUAUACAUCUGGAAUUUUAACCGGGCGGUCAAGGUCAGGGGUCACAGAAACUUCAUAACUGUCCGCCCAAAAGAGUUUCACAAACAGUUUGAUCAAGAAACCGGAUUAAUAAUUUUUAAAAAACUGAACACAAAAGUAAACACCUGGAUUAAUAAUAAUAAUAAUAAUAAUAAUAAUAAUAAUAAUGCUAACGAUCCCGAACGAAUAACCGAAAGGCGCUCACGGAUGGAACGGUCGAGUCAGUUAGCAUUAGCGUGUGGUUCUCCUCGGAGAAGCGCUCUGGAGGAAAAGCUUGCUGGAGUCUGCAGUGUGAAUUCUCCUGACCAGCAAAAACUCCAGCAGCGGAGACGUUAAGAGCUAUUUAUAAUCUCAACUCCGCAGCUGGAAAGCUUAACAGCGCUACAGAGGAUAUCAACCUGAGCCCAGGUGUAGGGGUGUGUGUGUGUGUGUGUGUGUGUGUGUGUGUGUAGGAUGCGACUGGGGAUCAUCACAUGACCUAACGAAGCACGAGGUUGAAAGUAAAAAUGUCAAUUCAUUUCAUUUUAAGUUCGUUCGUAAAACACGCCUCACAGAAAUGGUCAUAAUGCAGUUUUACAGAAAUCCAGACGACUCAAAUAAAAUACACAAAAGAACUCGCAGGUCAUCUCGACAAACUUACUGAGUUUUUAACCAUUUAAGAUGAGAUUUUUAGGGCUGCCCCCUGAUAGUCGACUAAAAUGUCAUUUUAUCAUCGUUCAUCUGUCGGUCCGUCGCAGAAAAAACAAACAACAACAACAAAAACACCUCCACAGUGGAGGGAAAGUUGGCCGACACGGCUCGCCCGGCCGCUCCACCUGCUAAUGACGACGUCGGGAAGAAAAACAACAAAAAAG
ensembl:lncRNA